UCUGUCACUUAUACAAAUCACUC
rnacentral:snRNA from 1 species